AUUGAACGCUGGCGGCAGGCCUAACACAUGCAAGUCGAGCGGAUGAAGGGAGCUUGCUCCUGGAUUCAGCGGCGGACGGGUGAGUAAUGCCUAGGAAUCUGCCUGGUAGUGGGGGAUAACGUCCGGAAACGGGCGCUAAUACCGCAUACGUCCUGAGGGAGACAGUGGGUGAUCUUCGGACCUCACGCUAUCAGAUGAGCCUAGGUCGGAUUAGCUAGUUGGUGGGGUAAAGGCCUACCAAGGCGACGAUCCGUAACUGGUCUGAGAGGAUGAUCAGUCACACUGGAACUGAGACACGGUCCAGACUCCUACGGGAGGCAGCAGUGGGGAAUAUUGGACGAUGGGCGAAAGCCUGAUCCAGCCAUGCCGCGUGUGUGAAGAAGGUCUUCGGAUUGUAAAGCACUUUAAGUUGGGAGGAAGUGCAGCAAGUUAAUACCUUGCUGUUUUGACGUUACCAACAGAAUAAGCACCGGCUAACUUCGUG
rnacentral:rRNA from 1 species